rnacentral:rRNA from 1 species
AUUGAACGCUAGCGGGACGCUUUACACAUGCAAGUCGAACGGCAGCGCGGACUUCGGUCUGGCGGCGAGUGGCGAACGGGUGAGUAAUGUAUCGGAACAUGCCCAGUAGCGGGGGAUAACUACGCGAAAGCGUAGCUAAUACCGCAUACGCCCUACGGGGGAAAGCAGGGGAUCGUAAGACCUUGCACUAUUGGAGCGGCCGAUAUCGGAUUAGCUAGUUGGUGAGGUAACGGCUCACCAAGGCGACGAUCCGUAGCUGGUUUGAGAGGACGACCAGCCACACUGGGACUGAGACACGGCCCAGACUCCUACGGGAGGCAGCAGUGGGGAAUUUUGGACAAAGGGGGCAACCCUGAUCCAGCCAUCCCGCGUGUGCGAUGAAGGCCUUCGGGUUGUAAAGCACUUUUGGCAGGAAAGAAACGUCGCGGGCUAAUACCCCGUGGAACUGACGGUACCUGCAGAAUAAGCACCGGCUAACUACGUG